AUGAAAGUUAUUUCUUGGAACGGCCGGGGACUCGGGGGUAGGCCGGCAGUUCGAGGUCUUCUAGAAUUGCAGAAGAAGGAGUACCCCGAUGUUUUGUUUCUUUCUGAGACAAAGCUGAAUAAAAAUAAGGUGGAAAAGCUUAGAUAUACCCUAAACAUGCCUCAUAUGGUCUUCAAAGUUUGUGAGGGGAAGAGUGGAGGAUUGGCACUUCUCUGGAAGAGGGAAAUAAAUUUGAGUCUCCGUUGGCUUGGGCGAAUGCAUAUUGAUGCUACUUUUACAGAGGAAGAUGGUUUCAAGUGGAGGUUUAUAGUGAUUUAUGGGGAGCCUAAGACUGAAUUGUAG
rnacentral:rRNA from 1 species